rnacentral:misc_RNA from 1 species
CAUCAGCUAAUAUUCAAUGCACAAAUAGGAGGGUGGAAUUCAGUUUAGUAACCCUGCAAUCACAACGAACCCCGACCGACUUCGGUGUCUUGUAGUAGCAGACACAAGAUUCCUCCCACUCUUUGCUUUCCAUUACCUAAUUAACAAUAAUACUAAUAAUAAUUAUAAUAACAAUGUACUGCAGAGGCAGCAGGCAGUCCAAUAAGGUGGUUUUCAUAAUCUUCCUUUAUCUUCUGUCAAGUUUCCCUUUCAUUGCAUCAUCAACUCCUCCUCACAGCCAAAUAAAGGGCUGAUCUUUCUGCCUUGUCUCAUUCUCUGCAACUUUUGCUUUUCUAGUACCCUGUUUUUCACAUUUUCCAAGCCCAAGUUCAGUUGCUUUAAUUCAUUACAUCAUUUACAGAUAAUCAACAUUCAACAACUCCUGCUCUCUUACCCUCCUCUGCUCUAAUCCUUUUUCGUUUCUUAUGGAUUUGGUCACCUGAACAACUACAACUGCAGUUGGUCACUAUCUCUCUCUCUCUCUCCCUAUAGCCACCCGCACUUCCUGCUGUAUGUAAAGGGUAAUUCUAGCUAGCGAGUUUCAUUAGUCCGAGAAACCAUGAGUCUCGAUGGCAUCAAUCUUCGUUGCUUUACCUUUGUUCUUGGUAUUGUUCUUGUUCUAGUUCCUGCAUUUGCUCUCAACACGGAUGGGGUACUUUUGCUUUCCUUCAAAUACUCUGUCCUCAGUGACCCAUUAUCAGUCUUGGAAAGCUGGAACUAUGAUGAUGUAACCCCAUGCUCAUGGAAGGGAGUGACCUGCACAGAAUUAGGCCUACCAGGCACACCAGACAUGUUUAGGGUCACUAGCUUGGUCCUCCCUCGUAGCCAGCUUCUGGGUUCAAUUCCUCCGGACCUGGGCUUCAUUCAACAUCUUAGGCAUCUUGAUCUUUCCAGUAACUUCUUGAAUGGAUCAUUGCCUAGUUCAUUUUUUAAUUCCACUGAACUGGAAGUGAUUUCUCUUUCUGGCAAUGAGAUCUCUGGUGACUUGCCUGAGUCUAUUGGUGGAAUGAGGAGUUUACAGUUCUUGAAUCUUUCUGAUAAUGCCCUGGAUGGGAAACUACCUAAGAAUUUGACCAGUCUGAAAAAUCUUACAGUUCUUUCUUUAAGAACUAAUUACUUUUCCGGUUACGUUCCCAGUGGGUUCAAUUCUGUUGAAGUGUUAGAUCUGUCUUCUAAUCUGCUAAAUGGGUCAUUACCUCUUGAUUUUGGUGGAGGUAAUUUGCAUUACUUGAAUCUCUCUUACAACAAGCUUUCAGGGCUAAUUUCACUGGAAUUUGCAAAGAAAAUUCCUCAGAAUGCCACCAUUGAUCUCUCAUUCAACAACCUGACUGGAGCAAUCCCAGAGUCUGUAUCUUUGCUUAAUCAAAAAACAGAAUCUUUCAAAGGAAAUGUGGAUCUUUGUGGCAAACCAUUGAAGAAUCUUUGCUCAAUUCCUUCAACUCUCUCCACUCCACCAAAUAUUUCAACCAUUUCACCAGCCAUUGCUGUCAUACCCAAACCAUUAGACUCAACCCCAGUAGCAAACCCGUCCGCAGGAACCCAAAAUGCCACUACAAAAAAUCAACCCCAGAACGGUCUAAAACCAACCACUAUUGUGGCUAUCGCGGUGGCAGAUUUAGCCGGCAUAACCAUUCUUGCUAUAGCCAUUCUUUAUGUAUACCAACUGAAGAAGAAGAACACUCUCAACCAAAACGACCACCCCCAACCAAAGAACAACCAGAAACUCCCAACAGAAACCAUACUAUCAAAACUAGAUCAGCCAGUGGAAACAAGAAAACCCACAACGUGUUCAUGUUUAACCAUUAAAGCAGAAGAAACAUCAGAAGAAGCUACAACUUCAGAUAGCGACCAAGACGGCGGCCAUCAGAAUGAAGUUAUCAACGUGAGCCAGCACCAGCAGAAAGGAGGAAAGCUUGUGAUAGUGGACGGGGAGACGGAACUGGAAAUGGAAACACUGCUAAAAGCACCAGCAUACAUGUUAGGAGCUAGCGGAGCAAGCAUAGUGUACAAGGCCGUGCUCGAAGAUGGUACUGCGUUCGCAGUAAGGAGGAUAGGAGAAAGUGGUGUGGAGAGGCUCAGAGACUUUGAGAACCAAGUGAGGCUCAUUGCCAAACUACGGCACCCCAAUUUGGUUAGGGUUCUUGGGUUUUACUGGGGAGACGAUGAGAAGCUUGUUAUCUAUGACUAUGUCUCCAAUGGCAGCCUUGCAAGCUCCAGUUACAGAAAACCAGGUUCAUCACCAUUCCAUCUACCUCUUGAAGUUCGAUUCAAGAUAGCAAGAGGUGUAGCUCGAGGACUAGCCUUCAUUCAUGACAAGAAAAAUGUGCAUGGCAACAUCAAACCAACCAACAUCCUCUUAAACUCCGAAAUGGAUCCCAUAAUCUCUGAUUUCGGGAUAGAUCGGCUAGUCUCUGGCUCUAGCAGCAGCAACAGCAAUAGCUAUAAAUCUAGCAACUC